rnacentral:rRNA from 1 species
GCCCAACGGUGGACAUGUGGUUUAUUCGAUGCAACGCGAAGAACCUUACCUAGUCUUGACAUCCACAGAACUUACCAGAGAUGCUUUGGUGCCUUCGGGAACUGUGAGACAGGUGCUGCAUGGCUGUCGUCAGCUCGUGUUGUGAAAUGUUGGGUUAAGUCCCGCAACGAGCGCAACCCUUAUCCUUUGUUGCCAGCGAUUAGGCCGGGAACUCAAAGGAGACUGCCAGUGAUAAACUGGAGGAAGGUGGGGAUGACGUCAAGUCAUCAUGGCCCUUACGACCAGGGCUACACACGUGCUACAAUGGCAUAUACAAAGAGAAGCGACCUCGCGAGAGCAAGCGGACCUCAUAAAGUAUGUCGUAGUCCGGAUUGGAGUCUGCAACUCGACUCCAUGAAGUCGGAAUCGCUAGUAAUCGUGGAUCAGAAUGCUACGGUGAAUACGUUCCCGGGCCUUGUACACACCGCCCGUCACACCAUA